rnacentral:misc_RNA from 1 species
UUCCUCGUGAAGCCUCUGCCUUCUGGUUUACUUGGAACAAGACGGAAGAGAGUCACUCUUACCGUCGCGCAUACCUUAAGCGGGUCUGCCGCCUUCGUUUCUCUUUCUUCAGCGAAUGACUUUGACUUGCGCUCGCGCGCCGUACCGGCCUUCGGCCUGGCGCUCCGCGAGGGCGCGGCACAAGCCGCGACGGCCGGUUGGCCUUGCGAGACUUGCGUCUCGUUGGCGAGAGCCGAUUAACGGCGCAGUCUUAGGGCUUGUAGCUCAGUUGGUUAGAGCGCGCGCUUGAUAAGCGUGAGGUCGGAGGUUCAAGUCCUCCCAGGCCCACCACUCCGGUGCAACCCGAAGGGUUGUCACUUCGCAAUCCGCAAGGAUUGUCGGAUCUCCUCGAUAUCUGUCGGGAAAAUAAUCAGGGGCCGUAGCUCAGCUGGGAGAGCGCCUGCUUUGCAAGCAGGAUGUCGUCGGUUCGAUCCCGUCCGGCUCCACCACUCCGGCGCAAUCCGCAAGGAUUGUCGCUUCUUCCCUCGGGAAGAAAGGUGUCGAGUAGAGAUGGAGAGAAAAAGUCAUUCGUAAAAAGGUUUGCGGGGAGCUUCUUGGCUUUCCCGCCUGUUCUGUUUGACAUCGUAAAGAGAAGAUUUGUUCGAACUUCAUGAGCUUGAAAAGGUUUGUGAUUUGUCGCGGGAGACGCUCAAUCUCCCGCAUAUGAUGGGCUUGCCUAACCGCACCCUCGAACCGAUCUCGAGAAGCUGGUCUUUUUGUGCCAAUGACAUCGAAUUGGAUCCCGCACAGGAUCCGGUUCAGGCGACAAUUCCUUCGGAAUUGCGCGGACGCUAAUCCCGUGAGGGAGAGGCUGAAGCGACAAUCCUUCGGAUUGCGCAGGUGGGCAUUGGCAAUGAGAACGAUCAAGUGUCUUAAGGGCAAUUGGUGGAUGCCUUGGCAUGCACAGGCGAUGAAGGACGUGAUACGCUGCGAUAAGCUACGGGGAGGUGCGAA